rnacentral:lncRNA from 1 species
UCCUGAUUCGAAUUGGAUUCGAAUCUGAUUCUUAAUUGAUCUAAUUUGAUUAGAUCAUGUUCUAAUAUGGUUAGCCAAGAGUUGGCACCUAAUUGGCUUGGUUUGAGUCUAAUUGGAUUAGAUUUGAUAAAUCAUUCAAUCUAGACCGUUAGAUCUUGAUCUACCGUUGGAUGAAGACAUAAUGGAGAGUUGGUUUAACCCAAUUGGAUUGGGUUAGAUGAUGGCUAUCAUAAUUGACCAUUGGAUCUUAAUCCCACCAUUGGAUGAAGACAUAAUGGGUCAAGUGAAUGGCGCCUUGCAUUGGAGCCCUUAGAUCAUCAUCAUGAAAGAUCAAGAGGUGAGGCGUGAUGGACAUGUGAUUAGCAUGUGAUGUUGACUUGGUCAAAAUAUGGCACCACAUGAAAGGACAUAUCAUUUGAUACACCUCCUCACUUGAUCUGCAUCUCCUCUUAUUUGAUAUGGCCCUUUAGAUGAUGCCCUUUCAUGAGAGGAUGUGUGGAUGGGAUGCAUCCCUUGGAGAUGCAUCCCUACACCUAUUAUAAAUAGGCU